rnacentral:tRNA from 1 species
GGGGCUGUAGUUAAACGGGAUAACCUCUGCUUUGCAAGCAGAUGUUCAGGGUUCAAUUCCCUGCGGCUCCACCA